GACGAACGCUGGCGGCGUGCCUAAUACAUGCAAGUCGAACGCAGUGGGGACGGGUGAGUAACACGUGGGUAACCUCCCAUCAGAGGGGAUAACACUUGGAAACAGGUGCUAAACCGAUACUGAUGGCUUGACCCGCGGUGCAUUAGCUAGUUGGUGAGGUAACGGCUCACCAAGGCCACGAUGCAUAGGCGGAGCUGGAGGGGGAGCGGGCAAACUGGGAAUGGGAAACGGGCCAGAAUCCUACGGGAGGGAGCAGUGGGGAAACUUGGGCAAUGGGCGAAGUCUGACCGAGGAACGCCGCGGUAGUGGAGAAAGUUUUCGGGGCGUAAAACUCUGUUGUUAAGGGAGCGGUACUUAACCAGAAAGCAACGGCUAACUACGUGCCAGCAGCCGCGGUAAUUC
rnacentral:rRNA from 1 species